CAAAAACAUAGCUAUAUGAUUUUACAUAUAGUUAUUUCUGCUCCAUGGUAUUGCUAAAUAGCCGCAGUACUCUGACUGUGCAAAGGUAGCAUAAUCAUUUGGCUCCUAAUUAGAGUCCGGUAUGAAAGAACACAUGGAAAGUAGCUGUCUCGGAAUAUUACUUCGAAAUUGGUUGUGAGUGUAAACCCUCACACAUCUAAAAAAGACGAGAAGACCCUAGAAACUUAUUGUAAAAGUUUUGUUGGGGCGACAGAAUUACACAUCAAACUAAUUUUAUAAAGCAGGACGCUGUGCAGGUAGUUAAAGUUACUCUAGGGAUAACAGCAUAAUACAUUCUGUUUGUGACCUCGAUGUUGGACUAGGUAAGAUAUUCCUUAGAAAGGAAUACGUAAGCUCUGUUCGAGCAGAUAAACCUACGUGAUCUGA
rnacentral:rRNA from 1 species